AUACGGAGGGUGCAAGCGUUAAUCGGAUUUACUGGGCGUAAAGCGUGCGUAGGCGGUUUGAUAAGUCAGAUGUGAAAGCCCCGGGCUCAACCUGGGAACUGCAUUUGAAACUGUCAAACUAGAGUUUGGUAGAGGGUAGUAGAAUUCCUGGUGUAGCGGUGAAAUGCGUAGAUAUCAGGAGGAAUACCAGUGGCGAAGGCGGCUACCUGGACCAAAACUGACGCUGAGGUACGAAAGCGUGGGUAGCAAACAGGAUUAGAUACCCCAGUAGUCC
rnacentral:rRNA from 1 species